rnacentral:rRNA from 1 species
AUUAAACGCUGGCGGCAUGCCUUACACAUGCAAGUCGAACGGCAGCACGGGGCAACCUGGUGGCGAGUGGCGAACGGGUGAGUAAAGCAUCGGAACGUGCCCUGGAGUGGGGGAUAACGUAGCGAAAGUUACGCUAAUACCGCAUAUUCUGUGAGCAGGAAAGCAGGGGAUCGCAAGACCUUGCGCUCUGGGAGCGGCCGAUGUCGGAUUAGCUAGUUGGUGGGGUAAAGGCCUACCAAGGCGACGAUCCGUAGCGGGUCUGAGAGGAUGAUCCGCCACACUGGGACUGAGACACGGCCCAGACUCCUACGGGAGGCAGCAGUGGGGAAUUUUGGACAAUGGGCGGAAGCCUGAUCCAGCCAUGCCGCGUGAGUGAAGAAGGCCUUCGGUUGUAAAGCUCUUUCGGUCCGGGAACGAAUACGCAUGGGUCGAAUACCCUCGUGUGGAGUGACGGUACCGGAAUAAGAAAGGCACCGGCCUAACUACGUCGCCAGCAGCCGCGGU